rfam:Agrococcus pavilionensis RW1 scf7180000000247, whole genome shotgun sequence.
CGCCCGUCCUCACCACGACGGAUCGUCCGGCACGUACCUGCCGGUGGAAAGGGAGUAUC